CAAGAUCUGAAGGAAAGAGGACAGCUGGGAACCUGUACUUCUGCAGAGAUAUUUUACAUAACAGAGAACUCUUGUUUUCAAGAAGCAGACAAGAAGAAUUACCAUGUGGACUCUCUGCCUUCAGAUUCAAUUUUUAAAAUACACGACCAGAAAUAGACAAAGAGGGGUACGUGUUAGGAGUACUAUCAAACAGCAAGAUGUCUCAGUAUCAUACCUGCAUCCUUUAAGCCUUUAUUUAGCUUCACCAAUGACAAAGCCUGCUAAGGCCCUCCGGUAUAGGAAAAUAGCCGUAACAGCCUGUUUAGUAAAUGAGAGAAGCACAGUGUCUCCAAGGGGCCUGGCCUGAGUGAGCAUCCAGAAUCCCAGAAAGUCAAGAAAUUUGAAGGAAGUCAGACUUGAUUUAAUUCUUUUUUACUAUAAAUCUCGUCUCAGAGAAUGAUUAACUGGGGGAGAGACAUAAAUGGCAAAGUUUGAUCAAGGGAGCUGCUGUCAGGGUACCAUCUAGAUAAAUUAGGAAAAGAAUGCUCAGGUUUCUAUGAAAGAAGACUAAUGACAUUAAGUCAAGAUGAAAUAGAAAGGAGCAGCAUUGCAGGCUGAAAAUCAUAAAAGACCAGCCUGCCCUGACAAGAAACCUUGAGAAACUUCCUGAACUGAAAAGUAACUGGAAAUGCUAAGGAAUGGCUUUCUGUAAAUGUCUGGUCUUGAAGUUACUCAGGAGUGAAGAUGUUCCAGGCAUAAAAUUUGCUUCUCAGUACCUGUCAAGACAAGUGAAGGAAUAUUCUAGAAGAAUCUGAAACAGCAGGUGUUAGUAACAGCUCUACACACUGCAGGUGUUCUGCAUCUGAUGUGCUCUUUGUAGUUAAUGGGGAUCAAUCCUUUCCCAUAAAUCUGAAGCAGUCCCACCUGGAGGCAAAUAGACCAAGUGGAUAAAAGGAGGGUGUAAAGUGCCUGGGUAGUAAAUGUUUGAUUCAGAGAGUCCUUUUGUAAGGAAGUGGGUAUGGUAGUAUUGUGGAAGGAGUGGUGAUCUUAGCUAAGAUCAAGGAGAAGCUUUACAAGAGACAUAAGUAUAUUUGUACAGAGAUCUUUCUCAGAAGUGUUUGCAUUGCAAGUGACAUCUGGCUGACAGGAACUUGGAGAAAUGGGAUACAAAGUGAAUGCUGCAGUUACCACAGCAUCAUAUUUAUCAAAAGGCUUAAGGCACAACGUCAUGGUGAAAUUCUAAGGAGGCAAUCAUUGUAACCCCUGGGAGAGAAAGAAGAAAUAAUGGUUAAUCCACUACUGCACAGAGUCCUAAAUGCAGUUGUGCAGCAGUGCUGAUAAAAGACCAAAACAGCAUCCUGUCAGACAUCCAGCACCCUUCAUCAAAGGACAGUGCUCUCAGAGGCCAUGGUGUAACCUACGUGGAGCAGGGUGUUCCCUCCCACCCACAGAUGUGCCCUCCUGCCGCGUCCCCUGCACGGGUGCUGCAGCUCAUGUGGCUGCACAGCUGAGACAGACACAGCCACCAAUCCUGCUGAAAACCAACCCAGCCCAGCGAAGAUUUGUCUCCAGCCAGAUACCUGAUGUAUUACUUCAGCAGCAAAUUCAACAAGGCCAAGAUGUCUUAAUUUUCCUUCAGAGCAAGAACUGUAGGAGCAGUGUGAUGGAAGUAUUGGUCUUCUGUGGCCAGCCGGCGAGAACCCAUCAACAGCUGUGAUGAGCAGAGCAGACACAGGGAGACAGGAGGCAGCUGAAGCCAAAGAGGACCCACGCCUGGAGCUCUGUGUGUGUGAUUGGAGCAGAGAGAGGCCAGGACCCAAGGAAAUCCCAGCAGCAAGGGAAAAAAACAGAUUGACUCUCAGUGACUCAUUUAGCUCCUGGAUUGGACAGAUCUCUCCCCUGCUGGCAAUUUGGCUGAGCAUCAAUGGACAGAUACCAGGAUGAAUAGCUUAAAAUAAUUAGGAGUUGAGAAUCUGCAAAACUGCUAGCCAUCCAAUUCUUUACUGUGCAAUGUGAGGCACAAAAAAGAAAUUACAUUUAGGUUAUUAAAUAUUAAGUCAGUGGAUUUACCUCCGUUUGGUCCAGAACAGGAAACUGGAUAAAAUUCAACAUUUAUUUCAUUGUGUCGAUGGCCUGUUUAUCACUGAGCGGGAAAGAAGGUCAAGAGGAAUUUGACCAAUGAUGGCAACUGGGACUACGUGAUAUAAGAAUGGUAUCUCAGCAUUUGCUCUCUGAAGAAACACUGGUUCUCAAUGUGAAAUGAAGUUGCUGCACACUUACCAGUGGUGAUCAAGGUAUACAGCUGAGGAUGGUUCCCCAGCCCCUCAAAAACUUCUUGUCUGCCAGAGUCAUGGAUGAAGCACAGCAGAUCCAAGGUGAAAAAUCCAGGGAAAGAAUGGAAAGGUGGAAAAUCCAGGAAAAGAAUGGAAAGGGUGAGAUGGCUGUAUCUGUUCAGUGCGGCCUAGUACGCGUUCCAGGAGCUCGGAGCAAAUUCUUUCCUUACGUGAGUUCGUACUACUCUGUCAGCUUGCCUGGCAUUACAUCACUGUGAUGAGGUGCAGAGUUUGUUCUCCUUUGCUGGUAAAUUUCCCUUAGUUUCAAAAAGACUAGUGAAAUACGUAACUGCAUUUAUAAUUUUCAGUCUGCGUCUCCAAGCUUACUAGUGACAGAGGUACUUAAAGUGACUUAAACUGUGAAUGUGAUUUGCUGUGGUGCCCAUUAGUGUUAGUAGAGGCUCUUAAUAAUAUUGGUCAGAAAACUUUACCUAUUACUUCUUUGACCCUGGCUGACUGCAGAGAGAACCUCUUACUUUUCAUAGCUUUAGAUCGAGAUGGAAGAGUUCUUCUGUGUAAGGGCUGUGACAGGAAGGCUCAGCAGGCUGAAUUGCUCCACUCCAAGUGCUCCUACAGCCCUGCCCCACUCCCUGCUCCUACCAUCUUAGGCGCUGCUUCUAUACAGAUAAUAGACACUUCACUUUCCAGAUCAAAUUCACCCACUGAAUCUGCCUCUUGUUUAUUUUAAGUAUACCUCUUAAGUUUGAUGAGAUGUCUGGCUUGCACAGGAGCUGUUCUGUGGUCACUGUAGAUUGUCACCUGGCAGGGCUGGGUUGGAGCUUGGAAGCUUUGGGCCCAAAAUCUUGGAGCCUGCACCAUAGUCUCUCAGCCAUCCUACCAAUGCCAGGGCAUAGCAUAUUUCCUCCUAUAAACAACAAUCUGCAAGGCCAAAUUUUGGUAAUAAAUAGUUAAUCUCUCUCAUCACCAGUAGAGAUCAUUGUUGUUGCCAGUGCUGGUUCAGGUUCCUCAAGUAUUCCCAAUUUACCUAACAAUCCUCUAAAUGUUUCACAGGUGUUUCCAGGACUACUGUGGCUGCACAAGUUCCAGAAAAUGUGGAGUAAAGUGCCUGCUUUCACUACUCAGGUUCAAGCACAUUAAAAGGAUUUGAGGAAAUUCAUUCAGUGCUGUGCACAAUGAAGAAGAAAUGGGAACCAUUCUGAUGAGUUGCAGGCUCUGGAGCAGCUAAGUUUGAGGAAAGGUCACUGGAGUGAAGCAAACCCUCAGGAGAGGGACCUGCACUCACGUGGCAGCAGGAGCUCCCCAUGGCACAUCCUCCCCAGCAUGGGCCCAACUGCUGACUUAGCUCUGUGGACGUCUUCCCCCCAGCACCCUUCUACGGCACCACGGCAGCAUUUCAGUGGUUUCUGCAGCCUGCAGUAGCCUCCAAAAUACCUGCGGCAAAGAGAGCGCGACCACGGUGCGGGAGCAGUACUAGGUCAGCAGAGCUCGUUCACGGUACAGCAACAAUAUGGUUUACAGGAAAAUGGAGAUCGAGCACAUCCACAAAAGCGGUGGCUGGUUGGGAUCGCAUCGGUGAAGUGGCAUGCUCGCUGGUAAGCAGGCUGGAGAAGAACAGCACUUUGCCACCCACAGCACACGCGGGGCUUCCUUCAGGGGGAAGGGAUGCAAACAAACCCCGUGGCAGUCACUGAAUGCUCCCAGAAAGCAUGCAACAUCAUCUAGCUCAAACACCUGCCCAAGAAGUUCAAACAUUUUUUUAAAGAUGCAAGUGGCAAUAUUGCCCUAUAAAUUAAUUUUUUUUUCCUUCUUCUUCAUCUUUUGGUCUCUUUCCUAAACACAGAGGCCAGAAGGCUAUGCUUAAAUAAUUCAUUUACAAAUUUGCAAUAUCUUUUUGAACUAUAGCAAUUAAACGGAAAAUAGAAAAAUCAGCUCAGCAUCCUGUUUGGAUGUAAUUAAAGGUAUAAUCUGUUCCAUUUGAAUACUCCAGUGCUUACCCUUCUUAAAACAACAAAUAAGAAUAGUAGCUCAUUUGCAAUAUGUUUUUUUUCAAGCCAUCUAAAAAGACUAACUGAUGAAGCAAGAAUAAUAAUUUUUAAAUGUGGCCUAAGCACAAAAAUACCAGCUACAGCUUUCAAAUGAUUGCUGCAGAUCCCAAGUCUGAUGGGAGUUCAAUAACAAGGGGUAUAAGCUUUAUGGCAAAACACUGAAGUCUUCCACUAUUUCAUAUCAGCAUCUUGCUAUGGCUGAUAUAAUUACCUAUCAAACACAUCAGUGGAAUGACUAUCAGAGGAUAUCAAAAAAAUACGUAAGUCGGAUGCAUAUCAGCUCAGUCUUUUAGAGGCUGUUUGAUCUCAAGUUUUUUUUGUAAGAAUAAAAGACAAAUACUGCAUUCCUUUCCCCUUUGUUUUCUAUAAGCAGCCGAUGAUUUUACAGCACAAUAAAAUUAGACUAUUAUUGGCUAGCUUAUGAGUUCUAGCUGGAUCUUUUUCCUCCUACUGGACAUCUCUCUGCUGCUUCUCAAAGAAAUUGAAGUCAGGUGUAAAGUUAAUAUCUGCCUUGUUCAUUUAUUCUUCUGUAAGCAAUCAAGAUUUCCCCAAAUCACAGGGCAAUCUCUUCCGUUUCGAGAAAGAAUAUAGGCCCUGUUCUCUCCAUUUAGUUUAACAAAACAACUGGCAGAAGUUCAAUGGAACUGAUGAUUAUUCCAAGAGGUUUCGGCGAACCACCGAUGUUAGCGGAAGGCUCGCUUGAAAGAUCCCCUAAGAGGAAAAGUGCAUGGAUAUUUCAAAAUGUAAUUAACAGCUUAUUCCAACAACACAGAAAAGAAACAGCGGCUGUGCUGGCUGCAGAGGAACCCGGCUGCACGGCACGGAGCGCUUCGGCAGCCACCACUCCCGUGAAAGCAAGGGACACAGCCAGCAGCAGCGGGGACUGUGCUGUGCCCUGCUCCCCGACACCGAGAAGCACCAGGGCUGACCCUGUCUGCACGGUUGCCUUGUGUGCUGCUGCCUUUGCUGUGCUUGGCAGUGCAGCUGAUGCUCUCAUGGGCAGGGUCUUGGGGUCCAGGACCUCACUGGAGAGACUAACUCCUUUCAAAAGGUCCACUUUCUCUCCACUGUCAUGCUCUCUCUCUGAAUUCCUUUGGGGCAGUAAUUUCUCAAGCUUAGUUUUGGUCUUAAUGCUGUGGUUUGAAGGACUGAAGGACUGUUUCAGCAAAAUUGUUGAGCUUUUCUUUUUUUUUUUUUUUUAACUGAAGUAUAUAGCAGUGACUAAGCAAAAUACUUUUUUUUUUUUAACAUUGUUUAACCAUUUAAAAAUAAUUCAGUUUUCAAACUCAGUGUUUUUGUCAGCUGGUGUGUACUUCUAACGUGGCAGGGAACAGAUUUAAACAAAUAAAAUGGUUGUUAAAAUGCGGGAGCGAUAGGAACAAUAUGGCACAGUGCUCUGAGAGACCUGUGUUUGACCAGUAAGUACAAGAGAAGUUAAAGCUCAAAGCUCAUAUUUUUUGAAGGUUAUUCAGCACCGUUUAAAAUUUCUAGCCAUCCCAGGUGUGCGUGCUUUGCUGUUUGAAAACCCCAUCCCUUUGCAGGGCCAGGCCUGCAGAGGCUAGGGACCUUCCUCCGGUGCUGCCCUGCUGUGGGGCCAGCAGACGUUGCUGGACCCUUUGCCUCUUCCCUGACCCAGCGUGGCAUGGCCUCUGUAUGGCUUGCACUUCGCUACUGUUCUGCAGCUUGCUGCUUUUCAUACAGUAGCAUUGAGAGGCCUCACGUAAAAAAAAACAACACCAACAUACUACUAAUAAUAAAAACCCAGCCCGUGGGUGCCAGGCUGUUGCUUGCUCUUCAGCAGAGAAGCCAGAAGUGAGCAGGGGUCAGGGAGCACCACGCGGUGCCUCACCAGGCAAAGACUUAAACCCACGGCUAUCAUUUCCCAACCAUCGAGCCGAACAGCCCCCUGCACGCCAAAAAAACAUUUUUGUGGACGUAACUAUAGACAUGCGGCUAAAGGCAACACAACAACAGAACCUGGCUUGUUAAAAAAUACCCACAGAGUGUGGGGAAAAAAAUAAAAAUCUUCAACACAGCCUCGUCUGUCUCCAGCAAACAGGGCUUGUUUCAGGCCCUGGGCUCUGGCGCAGGCCCGAGCCACAGCGGGUGAGUGAGCUCCUGGCUGUCGGGCGCGCUGGUUUUGCAGAGGCUCGCACGCAGGCAUCGCCCUGCCCUUCGCCACCAGCCAGGGCCUGGCUUGGCCGCCUCACGGGCACUCGUGCCACCCCUUUGCCACCCGGCACAGCAGCCCGCCUGGCCGCCCCCGGCUGGGAUGGCGUGGCAGCUGUGGGACACGGGCCAUUCCCCCCCCCAAGGAACAUCUCUGAGAGACACCAGCGCUGCGGAACGAAGCCACGCUUAUCUCAUGCAUGCCACAGGUGUGAUGUCAUCCCCUCUGGCGAAGGAACGAGGAUGUCUACAGCCUCAGCCGCGCAAAAAUGCAGGAACUGAAGUUAACGUGCCUCAGACUUUGUUAAAAUAUGGUGAUAAUUAAGAAGUAUAAUUACCACUACAAAGUUAAUUCCUCUUUGAGUUCUUACAAACAAGUUUUUAAUUUGCACCGAACAUUUACAUUUCAGAUGCGCAGUCACCCAGGCGCAGCCGCCACGCGGCCCCGGGCUCUGCCCUGCACGGGGCCGGAGGCACUGUGGGUCCCCAGGGAGGGCCCGCUGCCACCACCUCUGCUGCCACCACCUCUGCUGCCACCAGCACUGCUGCCACCACCGCCGCUGCCACCGCCACCGCCACCACCAAGGCCUGGGCACAGCCGGUAAGACGGUGCGAGUGCCUUAAACUGUCUCACCUGUUCUGUUGUACAGACGUGAAAAUAGCAGCCAUGUCAGAUAUAUGCCUGCUUUUUAUUAAAAAACAAAAACAAAGAGCUUAUGGGGUAAUUGAUUGCUUUCGUCUAGUCUUUUAUUAGUUGUGAUUAAGGAGCUAUAGUAGCCCUGUUUACACAUCUCCAACAAGUCAGGACCUGCAGCGCGUUAUUGGCUUGCGGCCCACAGCUCGCAGUCCAUUUGCCACAGAAUCAAUCUGAAGUGGAAAACAUCCCCCUAGGAAGCGCGCACAUCCCUGCUUACAUGGGAGCAGAAAGCAGCAAUAACUGCAGGCCCCGCACGCUGCGAGCCCAAGGUACGGGCCUGCUGCUGCCCGCAGCGCGCGCGUGCUGAGGGGCGCGGGGCUGAGGGCUCGUGCCUACAGCCCAACCGGGGACACAGGCGAGCUGCUGCACUUCGCUGCCGCUCACAGCUCAGGCUCCGCGGAUAUGAACCGAGAGCUCCUCACUGCUUAACAUGCAGGCAAAGCCCUGCCAAUCUAAAAUGGCUGAUCAGUAAUACUUUAAUUGCACUUUCAUAGAAACAAAUUGCUAUUUAAUUGCAAUAAGCUCUUCUGUGGCUUCGCUGGACUGACAAUAGGCAUACACCUGGUACUAAAACGUAACAAGCAGCAACCAUGGCUAUCUGGUAGUUGAUGUAGGGUAGGCUGAGGCAGUGACACCAGUCCCGGAACACACCAUUUCACACUGAAGAAGUAUUUAAAAAAAAUAUAUACAUGCAUGUCCCGGUCUCAAUUUCAUUUACUUCAAUAAAGCUGUUCAGAACAUAGGUCCUUGGAAAAGCUUAACACCUAAUACCAGCCAAGGAAUUUUGAUAUAAAGUUUAAAUUAAAAUGAUCUUUUGAAAUGCCUGCUAGCAAGUCACAUUAUGCUAGUAUCAGAUUUAUUUAUUUUUUUAGUAUUUUUCCUAAAAUUAGAUGACGCGAAUUUUAACUGUGUUAACUAACAGGGAAAAACUGAGACAAACGCAGUGUGGUUAAUAUUCUAAAGAUGUGACUUAAUUUCAUAGGCUUCAUUUUGGUAAGACAUUCUCAUUUUAUAUUUCAUAAGAUACUGCAUAACCUGUUAAAAUAUUUAAAGAUAAAUCAUGUAGGACUGAAAAGACAGUAUCUUGUUGCAAACAGAAUUUGGUUUGGAAAGGCUUAAUGUCCCACUGCCUGCCAGGAUGCGUAAAUCUCAUAACUAGACAGCUGGAUAGGUAAAAACAUUAAACCCAUUUAGAGGGCAAUCUUUUUACAAAAUUGUUUCAUUAAUAAGAGUGACAAUUUAUAUGAUUGAGACGUUUAGAUGCAGUAUAGACAGAGCAUUUUAUCCAGGUUCACCAGGAUGAUUUCAGAUUAGUAAUAUUUCCUUUGAUUUUUUUUAACAGCAUUCAUUUUUGAAAGUGAGGGAAGCUCUUACUGAAUGAUUAUUUGUAUGACUUUUCAGCAGCACUAAAUGCAGGAGGUGUAUUUCAGGCUCAGCCUAGCAAAUGCAUGUGAUAAAAGGUGAACAAGUACACGUUUCUCCUUACAGAUCUUAAAAAAAAGUCAUUUUUCACAUAUGGACAAAUCUAAGUGUUUCCAGUAGCCUUCUACCCACACCUAACAUCCCCAUUACAGCAUGUUUUAUUGUCUGCAAUGCCUCUAGUUUCAAGAAAGUGUUUUACCUAAAGGAAGAAUACUACUUAAAAUAUGUUCUAUUGUAUAUUCAUAGCUCCAUUAGUCCUCCUCCAAUUUAGCACAUCAAAGCAAAGGCUUCAUCACUUGCAUGUGGAUUAUGCUAACAUGAGUGACAUUUGUAAUCUUAUAGGUCUGCAACUUAAGAAAUGCUUUUAAAGUAAGCUAUUAAAUAGGUAUCUGUGCUUUACAAACGAGUCAUAUAAUAGUUUAUUUAAAGCUGUUAAUGAACUUCAACCUCUACAUCACUAAAUGCUAUACUACUAGAAGUUAUUAGCUAUCUUCUUAGCACUUCUAGGUUAUAUUGGACAACCAAAAAUCUGUACAUGUUAGAUUUAAACACGGUACCUUGAGUGCUUAUACCGAAAGAAUAUAAAAAGAUGUCUGCAGACUCACUAAUACUUGAAUUCUAUAUUCAUAUGACUUCAAGUGUCUUUUCAAAGAUAUUCAAGCAGCACAAUUUGCAAGACUCUUACCUAAAGACUUUAAUGCCAGCUCAAAAACCUUACAAACUUAUUUUAAAAGUAUACGUAAGUGCAUUUAAUUAAAAAAAAACAUACAUAGCUUCAGUAGUUUUAUUACUUUGUAUGUUAUGCGAGUGUUUUUUUGUCUUUACUGUCUGAUGCUGUACACUACAUCAUUUUAUUUUCUCUGCAACAGUCCAAUUUUUGCACAGGCACUGAAGUGUUAAAGAAGAAAUUCAGCAGACCUCUAAUAUACUAGAAAUCAAGAAGUAAGAUCUGAAGAAAAAAAAAAAGAUCUGCAGUUGGUUUAGACAGACAAAUCUAUAAUUCAGCUUUUUGUGUAUCAGCAUCACAACAAAAGUAAGUCAAGCUCAUUCGGUAACCAAACAAAGCUAAACAGUGAACAUCUUGAAAACAGAAUUAAAAAGAAACCAUAAUGAUGAUGUAUUUCAAAUGUAUUAGUCUCCGAUAAAAGCCAAAGAGUUGGUAAUAUUGAUUUGCUGUGAAUUGCAGCAGACACACAUUCUAGGUGCUUGCAGUUUCCUGACUGAAGGCAUUCAAUGCACAGUCAUAGAUUCACGUUAGUAUUCUUGCUAUAAGAAUGAAAAGUGGGGAUUUUUUUUCUUCUCAAAAGUUAUUCUACACAGAUCUACCAAUAAGUAGCUGAAGGGAAAAACCCAGUAAAUGAAGUCAUUCCCUUUCUAAGCUUAGAGGAAGUUUUCUUGCUUUUUUGUCUCUUUCCUUCCAGAGGACAGAUCAUGUUUGAGAUCGGUUUGCUCUCGGAAAUACUCCAGGAAGUGUGUUUUUCUUUCCUUAUCAGUUUUAAAAAGUUAAGUCUCUUGCCACAACAAACUCAACUUUGUGUUGUUCAGAUCAGAAUAGCUUUUGUAUCCCUUUUUAUGAACACUCAAUUCUAUUGCUCAGCGUGAAGUACAGCCCUUUUGUUGCUUCUAUUUUUAUUAUUAUUCUUUGACCUGUUAAGAUGUAUACAUACACACUCAUGUUUGCACUCUCACAGACACAUGCAUACCCCUAACAGUUCUGGGGGAAAGAACUGGAUAGAAAGAGACCACAAUACCUAUAAUACAUACCAUAAUUCACUGCAAUAUGAACUGUAAUAUAUUUGUUUGUUACCAGAAGUAAGAAUCUCAUUGAAAAAUAAAGAUCAUUUUGAAGCAGUGCUCUGUAUCCUUGCCAAGAGUAACACAGUAGUAGUUUAACAGGUUUUUUACUGGCAUAAGACAAAAAAGAAAAAAAAAAGCUACUUUUAAAGGUAACUGACAAUUAAGGUAAUGACUAUGUAAGACUUAGUUUCAGAGUAAUGUUUCGAAUGUAGUUUUUUUUUUUUUAAUAAAGCAAAGUUUCUAAAACCCAUACUCAAUUCAGUGUUUUUUGUUUUACUUUUUUAUUAUUUAAAUACACCAUACUAGAGCAAAUGUCUCUGAAAAUAUCACAAAUAAAAGAUUUUUCUUCAUUCAGCAAAUUAGAAGUAGGUGAAAAUUUCUACACAGUAGCUGCUAUGAGCCUGACUUUUUUUUUCCUUUUUCUCUUUUUUUUUUUGCCAUGGGAAGUAGCAACAUUAGGACAAAAACACUUACAUGCAUACAUACAUUGUAUUUUACA